rnacentral:rRNA from 1 species
UACGGGGGGAGCAAGCGUUGUUCGGAUUUACUGGGCGUAAAGGGCGCGUAGGCGGUCGUGACAAGUCACUUGUGAAAUCUCCGGGCUUAACUCGGAACGGUCAAGUGAUACUGUCGGACUAGAGUACAGAAGGGGCAACUGGAAUUCUCGGUGUAGCGGUGAAAUGCGUAGAUAUCAGGAGGAACACCGAUGGCGAAGGCAGGUCUCUGGGAAUUAACUGACGCUGAGGAGCGAAAGCGUGGGGAGCAAACAGG